UGAGAUUGUCUGAGAAACUUGCAAAAAGGAUACCAAUGGUCAGGGAGUACCUCAGACCAACUCGAUCAGAUUUCUGGUGGUUGGCAUGGGGAUUGGGAUUGUAUGGAAGUGUUCUCCAGGUGACUUUAAUAGCAGCUGGCCAAGUCUGCAUUUGUGGAAAUCUGCAGUAUUUGAAGUUUGGAGGAGAUCAAUUUUUCAUCCUUUCCUUCGUGGGAUAAAGAAUAUUUCAACCACCUCUGGAGACCAAAGAGUUCUGAGAAGUUUUGAAAUAGCUUGGGAAAUACACCACGUGCUUCACACUUCAUUUUUCUCCUCUCUCUUUCAUUGUUUCACUUAAUUAAAAUAUUGUAAUGCAAGGAGAGAUGAGGCAAACGUUUAGAGAAGGAAAAGGAAAUGGGUUCAUGUUUAAACUGACUCUGAGCAAGCAUGGC
rnacentral:sRNA from 1 species